rnacentral:tRNA from 1 species
GCAGUGGAGGUUCAGUGACAGAAUUCUCGCCUUCUGUACAAGAGACCCAGGUUUGAUUUCUGGCCAGUGCA